ACUUUUGACCUCGGAUCAGGUAGGGAUACCCGCUGAACUUAAGCAUAUCAA
rnacentral:rRNA from 1 species